GAUGAACGCUGGCGGCGUGCUUAACACAUGCAAGUCGAACGAUGACUUUUGUGCUUGCACAAAAUGAUUAGUGGCGAACGGGUGAGUAACACGUGAGUAACCUGCCCUUAACUUCGGGAUAAGCCUGGGAAACUGGGUCUAAUACCGGAUACGACGGUCCACCGCAUGGUGGUCCGUGGAAAGCUUGAUGCGGUUUUGGAUGGACUCGCGGCCUAUCAGCUAGUUGGUUGGGGUAAUGGCCCACCAAGGCGACGACGGGUAGCCGGCCUGAGAGGGUGACCGGCCACACUGGGACUGAGACACGGCCCAGACUCCUACGGGAGGCAGCAGUGGGGAAUAUUGCACAAUGGGCGAAAGCCUGAUGCAGCGACGCCGCGUGAGGGACGAAGGCCUUCGGGUUGUAAACCUCUUUCAGCAGGGAAGAAGCGAAAGUGACGGUACCUGCAGAAGAAGCGCCGGCUAACUACGUGCCAGCAGCCGCGGUAAUACGUAGGGCGCAAGCGUUAUCCGGAAUUAUUGGGCGUAAAGAGCUCGUAGGCGGUUUGUCGCGUCUGCUGUGAAAGCCCGGGGCUCAACCCCGGGUCUGCAGUGGGUACGGGCAGACUAGAGUGCAGUAGGGGAGACUGGAAUUCCUGGUGUAGCGGUGAAAUGCGCAGAUAUCAGGAGGAACACCGAUGGCGAAGGCAGGUCUCUGGGCUGUAACUGACGCUGAGGAGCGAAAGCAUGGGGAGCGAACAGGAUUAGAUACCCUGGUAGUCCACGCCAUAAACGAUGAGUGCUAAGUGUUAGGGGGUUUCCGCCCCUUAGUGCUGCAGCUA
rnacentral:rRNA from 1 species